AUCCUGCGUAAGGGAUAGAAACGGAUAUCCUUUUGCUUGCCUUGCCAGGCAAGCAGAAGAUAGUAGUGGAUAGCCCGACCCGGG
rfam:Epilithonimonas sp. FH1 contig07, whole genome shotgun sequence.